CCUACGGGAGGCAGCAGUGGGGAAUAUUGCACAAUGGGGGAAACCCUGAUGCAGCGACGCCGCGUGAAGGAAGAAGUAUUUCGGUAUGUAAACUUCUAUCAGCAGGGAAGAAAAUGACGGUACCUGACUAAGAAGCCCCGGCUAACUACGUGCCAGCAGCCGCGGUAAUACGUAGGGGGCAAGCGUUAUCCGGAUUUACUGGGUGUAAAGGGAGCGUAGACGGCAGCGCAAGUCUGGAGUGAAAUGCCGGGGCCCAACCCCGGAACUGCUUUGGAAACUGUGCAGCUGGAGUGCAGGAGAGGUAAGCGGAAUUCCUAGUGUAGCGGUGAAAUGCGUAGAUAUUAGGAGGAACACCAGUGGCGAAGGCGGCUUACUGGACUGUAACUGACGUUGAGGCUCGAAAGCGUGGGGAGCAAACAGGAUUAGAUACCCCAGUAGUC
rnacentral:rRNA from 1 species